rnacentral:rRNA from 1 species
UACGGAGAGUGCAAACGUUGUUCGGAUUCACUGGGCGUAAAGGGCACGUAGGCGGCUCGGCAAAUCGGUCGUGGAAUCCAGACGCUUACCGUCUGAACGGCGGCCGAAAAUACCGGGCUCGAGGGCGUGAGGGGUCACUGGAACUCCUGGUGAAGCGGUGAAAUGCGUAGAUAUCAGGAGGAACGCCGGAGGCGAAAGCGAGUGACUGGCGCGUUCCUGACGCUGAGGUGCGAAGGCCAGGGGAGCAAACGGG